UGGGGCGGUAGCUCAGCCUGGGAGAGCACCGGACUGAAGAUCCGGGUGUCGGGGGUUCAAAUCCCCCCCGCCCCACC
rnacentral:tRNA from 1 species